rnacentral:rRNA from 1 species
GUCAGCUCGUGUCGUGAGAUGUUGGGUUAAGUCCCGCAACGAGCGCAACCCUUGAUCUUAGUUGCCAGCAUUUAGUUGGGCACUCUAAGGUGACUGCCGGUGACAAACCGGAGGAAGGUGGGGAUGACGUCAAAUCAUCAUGCCCCUUAUGACCUGGGCUACACACGUGCUACAAUGGACAGAACAAAGGGCUGCGAGACCGCAAGGUUUAGCCAAUCCCACAAAUCUGUUCUCAGUUCGGAUCGCAGUCUGCAACUCGACUGCGUGAAGCUGGAAUCGCUAGUAAUCGCGGAUCAGCAUGCCGCGGU